UUCCUUAACACACGGACGUGAGGAUGUUUUCAUCUACCCUUUAAAGCACGUGUUCCUUCAAAAUGUGGGGCCUUUUCAGCAAAUAUACACUGAUUCAUGCCCUUCUCAGCAGUGAUUGAGCACCUGAACUGUCGGCUCUGCGGCAGGCGGCGAAGCACUUCUCACUGCAGAAGCUCUUCAGCUCACUGCCCAUGCUCAGCGAGUAGCGCUUGACGCCGACCUUCUGGCACCAGGCGCACAUGAUCUGCACGUUGGACGCAUCUUCAUCUGGACAGAAACCAGUUGAGAAGGCCCAAAAGACAUCAAGUCCACUGAUUCAGAGCAGCUGCUGGGAGGUUAAAUCCGCUCAAGACUCAAGCCGCAGAAACCACUGUAGGGUUUAUAAUGAAACCCUGCCAUGGGUGAAUGCAGUAGAACCGGAUGAGCCCGGGACAUGGGAAGACGCCUAUUUGUGGCUGUGAUCCGUGGGUAUUAGAGACCCUGAAGUGGACGCAAAGAGAGACACAGGAGAAAACUUCUAAUUCUAAGCUUUUUACUACCGCUGUGUGCCAUCACUUCUCCCAAACCUACACAACUCUGAUGUGAGCGGACGCAACCCAUCCAGCUGCUCCACCCAAACAGUAAAACAUGAGAAACUACAGUUUGAUUUAGUCUUUUUUGGCUCUGCGU